rnacentral:rRNA from 1 species
AUUGAACGCUGGCGGCAGGCCUAACACAUGCAAGUCGAACGAGUGGCGGACGGGUGAGUAAUGUCUGGGAAACUUCCUGAUGGAGGGGGAUAACUACUGGAAACGGUAGCUAAUACCGCAUACCAUCAGAUGUGCCCAGAUUGGAGUAGCUUGUUGGUGGGGUAACGGAUCACCAAGGCGACGAUCCCUAGCUGGUCUGAGAGGAUGACCAGCCAAACUGGAACUGAGACACGGUCCAGACGCCGACGGGAGGCAGCAGUGGGGAAGAUUGCACAAUGGGCGAAAGCCUGAUGCAGCCAUGCCGCGUGUAUGAAGAAGGCCUUCGGGUUGUAAAGUACUUUAAGCUGGGAGGCGUUACCAGCAGAAGAAGCACCGGCUAACUCCGUGCCAGCAGCCGCGGUAAUAC